rnacentral:lncRNA from 1 species
UCCUGCGCUAACGGUCUCGCCCGGCCGCCCACCGCGCCCCUAUUAACAAGCCUUGACCCCCUGGUGUUUGUUCAGACCUCCAACAGCGCAGUAUAAUCUGGGCUUCCCCAACGUGCCUUUGUGCCAUACCCCCCCCACCCCAAAGAUGGAGCUCAGGACGCGCCCGCCGAUGAAGAGUCACUGGGCUCGUCAGGAAAAGCCCACCCGCUGUCCUCCAGGUGCGUGGGCGCAGGGCUCAGAGCCCCUCCUCACCCAGGUUCCCACUUUCCUCAGAGGAACCUGAGAACCAGACCUGGAUCCUACCCCGCAGCCCGAAUCUGGGAGAGAACUGCGCCAGCCUUGACUGCCUACCUUCUCGAAGCUUGCUCAGCUUCCGUGGACCUGUACGCCGGAUUCUAAGACGCUCCUCCUGUGUUCCGUGAUAUCUGACACCCUCAGUCUGGAUUCCAAGUUCAGGAAUUCCCGAGGUGUCCGGCUAUUUGAAGCCCUGAUUUGGCUCCAGCAGAACAGAACCUGUUCCUCGUGGAUGUCACAGCCAAGGGGGGCUCGAAGACCCUGGAGGUGGGCUGGCUGCUCUUGGGAGAUGAGCCACCAGCUUGGGACCCAGCAUGUGGGUUCUGGCACCACAGCCCGGAGGGUGAGGGACGGAGCAGCAGUCAGGCAGCUGAGCCCACCCUGGGAAAGGCAUAUGCAGGAGGGCUGUCCUUGAAGUUCUGCACCCACUCAGGGUGGGAUUAGUCCCCAAAUGGGAGGGGACAGGGGCUGGAGUGGGGAACAGAGACUGAGGAUGAAAGGAGUGAAUCACUUGGGCAGAGAGCGAGAGUUCUAGGGCUGAACAAGAGGCAGGCAGAGAGCAAGAGGCAGAGGGGAAGAGAUGGAGAGGGAGGCAGUGACACACAGAGCAACACAGCACCAAUUAUGCCGGAUCACGUGCAGAGAGGCACAGGGUGCGCUGGGCACUGCGUUCAGUGUUUUACACGUGAGCACUCCUUCAAGGGGUGGGGACAGGCAGACUUAGAGUUAACAACCGCCAUGUAGAGGGACCCAGGGACCCAGAGCAGACAGAGGAAAGCAGAUGUGUGUGUGUGAGUGUGGUGCGAUAUGUGGGGUAUGUGUAUGAUAUAUAUUUACCUCUGUGUGUGUGUGUGUGUUGCGUGUGGUGUGUGUGAGGUUCUCACACUGCCUGCCUUACUCCCCUCACCCCCAGUCCCCACCUCUAGGCCCCUGGGCUGCCCAGUCUUCCUCUGAGCCCCUCCAACUUGGGAUGUUGCCCCUUGGUGCCUUUGCAAAGCUGUGUCCUCCUGGGUCAUUCAGAGGACAUGAGACUGGGGCACUUAUUCUGUGCUUCUCAUCUCCCUGGGCUGUUGAACCCCUAACCUGCUGGGCUGGGUCUGCAGGGGCUAGAGGUGGCUACGGCAGCUUUACAGCUAUUAGACGUGAGGUGGGAAACUGCGGAGACAAGGGGAGGCUCUAGGUUGAGGUGGGACAUGUCCUGAUUAUCAGGGAGCAGGGAACUGUCCACGCGAGCUGCAGAGAGGUGGUGGGGAUGUGAUGUGGGCACAGGGAGCCGGCCCUGUGAAUCUCGUUCUUGUUUCCCGCAUGCAGCAUCUUUUAUCUCUUGGAGGAUAUGGAUGAUCCUUUUAAAAAGUUUUCUUCUUCCUAUACAAUCUGUUUCUUCCCUGUUGCUUUUUUCUCUUGUUUUGUUCUCUGUGAUUAGGCAUUCCUCACACAUGCGGUGAUCCUUGGCUGGCUGUUCAUAUUGGGAGUGGGGCACUCCAGAGGUUAGAAGUGCUCCUGGAGGGGACCUGGCUGAGCUAUUUGUUGGGGACAACUGUGUCGACUUCUUAGGUCAAUAGAGCACCUUAUGUCAAUUUCUCUUUCUCUGGUCAGAUUCUGCAGAGAAGAUGUUUCCAGACUCCUGCUGGAGGGAAACCAUUUAGCAGCAGGCAUUCUGGGGGCUGAGUGAGAGGGAAGAAGCUGGGGAGGAGAUGGCCUUGAGAGUCAGUCAGUAAGUCUUCAUAAUCCUCUUACUUUCAGGAUGGGGCCUCUCCCUCCACUCAUGGUUCUUGGUCCAGACACCCUUUCUAAGGACCCACCUUGGUCCUGGGUGGGUGGGGGCAGGAGCCCCAGGGGGUAGGAUAAAGCACCCUGGCUUUAUGUGUACACUGUCCUACAGUCCUCCUCUGGGCUGUGUUCUGAGCCCACAGUCAGCCCACCCUCACCCUUUCCAGAAGGAGCCAGUCUAGUCACCUAAAGCAAAUCAGGUGCUUAACAGUGUUCACCUCUGCCGGCUUAUGAUGUGGCAGUCUUGAUCUGCUAAGUUAGAGAUCACUCAUCAGGCUGCUCGCCAGCUUCAAAACUGUUGCUCUUGUCUCCUCUCCAACUUGUCCUUAUGUGUUUAUGGGGUUUUUUUUGUUUGUUUGGUUCAUUCGUUCAUUUUCAGCUGCACUCGUGGCAUUGCUAAGUUCCCAGGCCAGGGAUCAACCUUGCGCCACAGCAGUAACCCGAGUCACAGCAGUGAUAGCAGUGGAUCCUCAACCACCAGGCCCCCAGGGAGCUCCUGAGCUGAUGGUUUUAAGUAAUGUUUACUGUCAUUUUAGUUGGGCUCUAGGAGAGACUGAUCUCAAAUCUGUGUUCCAUCUGCCAUCUUUAACUGAAAAACAUGUGUUUUAGUUGUUUUUGUGUGACAUCAACUUACCCUUGAUAUUAAAG